AAGAGGCCUUUUCAGAUUUUUACCCCAGACGUCCCCCACUAACGGGCUCUUGUCCCCCUGUAUAUUUUAAGCACUGCCCGAGGGGAUCUUUACAACCAAUGAUUUUUCUUUAGUACUCACGGUCUCAGCCCUCCUCCCA